UGUGAACUGCAGUAAACAGGAAACUGUAGCAAACAGGCAGACUUUCUAGCCUCUGCGUGCCUGUGUGUGUGCAUGUGUGUGUGUGUGUGUGUGGUGUGCGUCAUGUGCACGUCUCAGUGCAUAACUAGAAGUGAGCAUUCACUUCUAGUUAUAGUUGUACCUAAUCUGCAAUUAGGUAGAUUGCUUUCUGUAUCAGAAGAAGUCGUGGCUGCUGAGACACAAGUGGCCCCAUGCCGUGUCACCCCGUGUUCGUGCUGCCCACGUGCUGCUGCCGAGGAGGUUCAGAGAAAGAAUUGCAACACGCAUUCGAGUCUGGUGCCUCUUUUCCUGCUCGUCUCAUGUACGUCUGACCCUUCUCAGCACCGAAGUCCCACUUCUCCCUCUGCUGGUGGAGAUGUUCCUCAUCCAGUCUUGCAGGUAAGCAAGUCCUGUCCUGGUAUCCUCUUGUCUCGUGCCCACAUGUCCGGCUGUUCUGAUUGUGCCCAGGAUGUGCCCAGCACCUAGACCAUGCUGCCUCACCUAUUAUGAAUCUUCUGUUGAAGUAACCCAAAGAUUUCCAGGUUGGAGUGUCCAAACUGAAGACAUGAUUUUCAGGCUUUUAGCUGGGAGAAGACUUGAAUCUGUGUCCUGAAAUGGAAGAGGAUAUUCCAAAAGUGUCAAGUUCUCCACCACUGGAAAUGUCCAAGUAGAGAGCAGGCAACCAUUUUCCAUAUGUGCUUGAGAAAAUGGUGUAUUUCAUCUCGUGGAAGCCUCCUGACGCCCAGUUUCUGAGUUCCCGUCGGUCUCAGCACCUGCUGGCUCAGAUCCAUCAGUCAGGUUCCCAUCGUUCGCGUGUGACCUUGGAUGUCCCUGCUUCUUCUUUGCUGCUCAGAGAGUCCCGUUUGCAUCUUCAUCACAGCCCCUCCCCCGUGGUCUGCCCACACUGCACCUGCUCCUCUAGCAGAGCCUCCAUUGUCUGAGGGAAGGCAACGUCUUGCUGACCUCUGCAGGCUCACAGCUGACCCCAGAGCAGUGCGCAGCAUAGGCCCUCCGUAAAUCCCCAGGGCAGAUGGGAGGGGAGGAGAGCCAGCGAGAGAGAAGGUAGGAGUGAGCCCCAGGGCCCAGCCGCAGCCUCGACACAGCUGGAAGGGCAAUGGUUUCUGCCCCUUCUUCGCCGUCACCUUCUGGAGGAACAGGCUUUUGGGGACAAUUAUGUCAAACCUUACUUCCUUAUAUAUUAGUUCCCUUCCAUUUCUGAUACACUAUAUGGUGAUUUAAAACAGCAGUUUACAGUGAAAUUCAUUUACAACAACACCAUCCAUUGUGAUCACAAUGUCAUAAAUUUAUGUUUUAAGUAAUUUUUAAUGCUUGUAGCAGCUGGGGCCCUGAAGUGUGGAAAUAGCUAACAUUUUUCACCCUGUGCAGCCAAGGGAGAAGAAUUGUUGCUCUUUAAUUAUACAACCACCGAAGACAGCAUGCAAAGAGUGGAGCAGAGAUAAUUGCAAAGUAAGAAAUGAUGGGCCAGGACCAUAGCCGAGACGUUAAAUGAAGACACAGAGAUGCCGGGACGCUGCAGGUAAAGCCUGGAGCAGAAAUGUGCAUCCUCCAAAUUAAUAAGCAGCUGUAAUUGUAAGUCAAUUGAUUAAAAAAGGAAGCAAUGUUAGGAAGACGGGAUUAUACACAGAGUGAAAUACUGCCCUCUAACCCAAAAGAGCUGGAUCUAAAGGGUAGAUAGAUAAGGGAAGUGCUAACGCCUCCAUGCUCAGGCUUGCACGAGUGUCCAGGGUGCAGCGACGUGACAGUCCUGAGUGGCGCUGAUGGGGGGUCACCUGUGCCCUCCACGUGUCCCCAGGUCUCCGAGGGAAUCGUGCUAAGAUAAAUUGACACAAACCUGUGUUACCUCCCACCCCCACCGGAACACCCUCUAGGAGCUUCAGAAUUGGGGGAAGGAGAAAAGGAGCUUGAGGAAACACUGCUGACGACCCUGAUGAGCUCUGCCCAAACUCGCAGUCUCUCUGCCUCUGUUUCUCUCCCCCUGCCCGCCUCCUUCCUUCCCACCCCCUCCGUUUGGGCACCAUCUUGAACAAUGCACAGCUGGCUCGGUUUGUCCCCCGCAAAGCACCCGGCUAGGUUCUCCAUGGUGGCUCCUGACACAACUGGGUUUCAGCACUUCCCACUGAGUGGAGGACACUCCUCUGUCCCGGGUUCAUAGACCCCGCUGUCCAGCAGAAAUGUAACACAAGCCACGUGUGCAAUUCUAGUGAGAAGAAACAGGUGAAAUCCAUUUAAAGAAUAUAUAUUUUUUAACCCGAUAUAUUCAGAAUAAGAUCGUCCAGCAUGUACUUGAUAGACAAUCGUUAUUGAGCGAUUCUACACCCGUAAAUUUUUCUGCAGCCAGUCUUUGGGAGCCAGUGGCUCUCGGUUCAGACCAGGCAUGAGUCACAUGCUGGGGGCACUGCAUGUUGACGGUGCGGGUCCAGGCGCCGGGCCGGUUGCUGCUUCGGAUGAAAGCAACCUAAGGUGGUGUGAUAGACGGUCCCUCCUGCGUCCCAGACAGGCCAUCAGGGCGCGGAGAGCGGCAGCCACAGCAAUCCUCAAGGGAGGGUGUGGGUGAGGGCCCCCACAGGCCUGGUCAGGACUGACCUGUUCCGUCCCGGUAGGGGCCCCCCCCUCCUGCAUCCCCGAUCCAUCUGUGCUGGGUUCUGAUCUACAUCUACCUGGUCUGAGUCUGAAGCAGCACAGACAACUGUGCAAAGGGCCCUCCUGCCAGCCCCUUGGAGGAGCGACUUUUGAACAAGGACCUGAGGGGAGUGGGGGCUGCGGGAUUCCCGAGUGGAUGGGGGCGAGGCCGUGUGGACCCCCUCCUCUCUGGGAGCCCCCUGGUGCUUGGGUGUCCCUCAGCAGCGAGGUCCCAGUGCAGCCUCCAUCUCUCGGCCUCCACUCCCGCUGUGUUUCAGGGUAGGACACCUCGGGGUUGAGACUCCUCUGACUCUGCCCCGAGACUGGCCGUUCUCCACCCCACCACCUGGUUCUUGUCGGGACCCCAGAGGCUCACCCACGCAGCAGGCCCUGCGGGGAUGGCGCACGCCCGUCAUCAGAAAGUCUGACUUUUACGGUCUCCUCCCUCCCCUGUGCAGACCCUGCCAGGAGCCAAGAGCCCCUCAGGGGAGGGUUUGGGUGCGAAUUCUGCUGCCCGAUAUCAGCAAGUAAAGGUCCUAACAAUGAAGGAGAACAAGU